rnacentral:rRNA from 1 species
GUGGGGAAUCUUGCGCAAUGGGCGAAAGCCUGACGCAGCCAUGCCGCGUGAAUGAUGAAGGUCUUAGGAUUGUAAAAUUCUUUCACCGGGGACGAUAAUGACGGUACCCGGAGAAGAAGCCCCGGCUAACUUCGUGCCAGCAGCCGCGGUAAUACGAAGGGGGCUAGCGUUGCUCGGAAUUACUGGGCGUAAAGGGCGCGUACGCGGACAGUUUAGUCAGAGGUGAAAGCCCAGGGCUCAACCUUGGAAUUGCCUUUGAUACUGGCUGUCUUGAGUACGGGAGAGGUGAGUGGAACUCCGAGUGUAGAGGUGAAAUUCGUAGAUAUUCGGAAGAACACCAGUGGCGAAGGCGACUCACUGGCCCGUUACUGACGCUGAGGCGCGAAAGCGUGGGGAGCAAACAGGAUUAGAUACCCGGGUAGUCC